rnacentral:rRNA from 2 species
AUACGACCAUACCUACUGGAGAACUCGGGAUCCCGUCCGCUCUCCCAUAGAUAAGCCAGUGAGGGCCGGAUUAGUAGUUGGGUCGGUGACGACCAGCGAAUACCUGGUGUUGUAU